rnacentral:rRNA from 1 species
GACGAACGCUGGCGGCGUGCCUAAUACAUGCAAGUAGAACGCUGAAGGAGGUGCUUGCUUCUCUGGAUGAGUUGCGAACGGGUGAGUAACGCGUAGGUAACCUGCCUGGUAGCGGGGGAUAACUAUUGGAAACGAUAGCUAAUACCGCAUAAUAUUGACUAUUGCAUGAUAGUCAAUUAAAAGGUGCAAUUGCAUCACUACCAGAUGGACCUGCGUUGUAUUAGCUAGUUGGUGGGGUAACGGCUCACCAAGGCGACGAUACAUAGCCGACCUGAGAGGGUGAUCGGCCACACUGGGACUGAGACACGGCCCAGACUCCUACGGGAGGCAGCAGUAGGGAAUCUUCGGCAAUGGACGGAAGUCUGACCGAGCAACGCCGCGUGAGUGAAGAAGGUUUUCGGAUCGUAAAGCUCUGUUGUAAGAGAAGAACGAGUGUGAGAGNGGAAAGUUCACACUGNGACG